GAUACUCUAAUGCCUACUGGUCAGAGCGUCCGCCUUGGAUGUGGGAUGUCGCGGGUUCGAACCCCAGGCGAGUCAAACCA